AUGUAUUUCCAGCUCAACUCUUGUGAUCUUGUGGCUCGCUACUUAGAGCUGGAACAAAAACAUACUCAAGUCGAGCUGAGCUUGAAGCUGGUUCAGGAGAAGCUGACAAAGGCAAAGGAGGAGACCGAAGGUAAGGUAAGGGAGGCCCAGCAGAAGAAAGACCUUGAGCUAGCUGAGAAGAUCAAGCUUGCCGAUGAGAAGUUAGCUUCAGUCACCAAGCUUGAACAAGACAAUGCCAAUCUGAAAGCUGCUCUUGGGAUUGCCAACAAGGAGGUCAGUCGACUGAAAACUGAUAAAGCUGCCCUGACCGACCAAGUCAGCAAAUUGACUGGGAAGAAAACUGAUCUGGAGGCCUUCCUGAGUGGACUUGCCAAGAAGCUGUUUCUUAUGCUUGAAGGUAAACCUCUAUGCUUGGCAGACAUUUCCAAUUGUGGUUUUUCCAUUCGACCAUCCCCUUGA
rnacentral:rRNA from 1 species